AGGAUUCCCCUAGUAACGGCGAGUGAAGCGGGAUGAGCUCAAGCUUAAAAUCUCCGUGCACGUUGUGCGCGGCGAAUUGUAGUCUAUAGAUGCGUGAUCAGCGCGGGCGCUCGGGGUAAGUUCCUUGGAAGAGGACAGCAUGGAGGGUGAUACUCCCGUUUGUACCUGAGUGUUUUGCGCGUACGGUCCGUGUUCUUUGAGUCGCGUUGUUUGGGAAUGCAGCGCAAAGUAGGUGGUAAAUUCCAUCUAAAGCUAAAUAUUGGUGCGAGACCGAUAGCGAACAAGUACCGUGAGGGAAAGAUGAAAAGAACUUUGAAAAGAGAGUUAAAGAGUACCUGAAACUGCUGAAAGGGAACCGAAUCGUUUCCAGUGUCUAUAAUCUGCGGCAUAUUUCAUGUGCGAGUGCGUGCGUUUCGGCUUUGUGGCAGCGGUCUUUUGUCUGCGCCCGUUGCUGUUUGUGCGUGUGCUUGUUCGUGCCCUGUGCCGUGGUGGGACGUCAAGGUGAGUUCGAAUGCUGCGGGAAAUGGCCGUCGGGGAGGUAGGUCUUAAGCUCCGCUUUUGGCUAUUAUAUCUCGGCGGUUGAGUCGUCGCGGUUGGGACUGAGGUGCCUACAACGUGCUUUUUGAGCGCGUGCGUGUCUCUGUGCUCGCGUUGUGCGGAUAGCUUGCUAUGCGCGUGGCGUUGCGUGCGGAUGGAUAUGCGCUGCUGCUUGUUGCCGUUCGGGACUUUGACGAAAUGGCGCGAUCCGACCCGUCUUGAAACACGGACCAAGGAGUCUAACACGCGUGCAAGUGUUUUGG
rnacentral:rRNA from 1 species